rfam:Gossypium arboreum cultivar AKA8401 contig_87619_1, whole genome shotgun sequence.
UGUUAAAAAGUAUAUCUAUUUCUACUAUUAAAAAUUAGAAUAGCUAAUAGAAUAACCAGACAAUUACACGUACCAAUACCUCAUUUUGACGUAUAUAGACCAGUUUUCAAUAGUAGUAACGAAUAAACUUUUUAACA